UGUGAUGUUCUAGCAGAACCAUUUAGGAAAUAUUCUGGGUUCAUUUCAAGUUCAGCUCCAUUAACAGCAUUUCAGGCAUAAUGUCGAUUUCAGCAGAAAAUAAUUUGGACUCGUCCUUCAGUUUUUUGAGGCACAAGCAAAAAUGAUGGAUACAGUGAGGCAUUUAUAAUGGAAAUACAAGGAUUUAUUCUACAGCCUUUGACAACAUUCCCAGAGCUCUUGGAAAAGCAGUUCAGCAGUUUCAGCUGGGAUGUGGUGAUCUCCUCUUUGAAGAAGUGCCAGGCUACAGCCGCACGUUUCCUUCCAUCAGCGGAGGAGAGAGAGAGAGAGAGAGAGGCCGAGCGAGCAGAUGGAGGGAAGGUAAACUCUCUGUAGGGAGGAGUUUUUGAACUGCUGUAAGAAA